UCCACUCCGGCUGUAAUCCCCUCCACCCACACCGCGGGACCCAGUGCCGCCGCCGCCGCCACCGCCGCCGCCGCCGCCGCCGCCUCCUCCUCCUCCGACCUGGCGAUCACCACUCUCCAUGGGCUCGUAGCCGAGACCAGGGCUCUCGUUGGUAAGGAGGGCCACGGCCUCGUUGAUGUCGUUCUUGGCCAUGCGGAGCGCCUUGCGAAUGGCGGCGGGCUCCGAGAAGCCCAUGCACAGCAGCGUCGUCAUGUGCUCUUCCUCCACGUCCAUCCUGGCAGACAGAGCCUGUCACUUCAAUCCCGCUCUCCCAUGGAGACUGUCCUGUUACAAGCCUCUCUCCCUCAGCCUCAGCUUCUGGCUGGCUAACUGACUGAAAGUACUCAGUGCGGCCACUCAGCCCUUCACUCCAAGAUGAAUGAAAAAUUCCUCGUCGGCCUGUCCGUUCGUUCAACUAAAACUCUUCAGCAACCUCCGGGUCGCCGGCGCCAUGUUGACAAGAGGCUGUUUCUGGUUCCUACUUUGCUGAGAGAAGCCGCGCCCACUACCGGAGGUGACGUACAUGGCAACUCCUGCUACCAUCUUGGUGAGGUCGCCGCUUGCGACUGAACGAUGGAGAGAUGGAAGAACAUGACUUGAGGUUCCCACACCUCCUCCCUCACGCCCAUCCCAGGCCCCAAGAUGACUUUCCACAUUAAGCAGAGUCAUCCAAAGUUAUGACCCAGGACAAAAAAGCCCAAUUGAUUAGCACCACGUUCACGGUUACUUCUUCCACAAUUCCCGCUUAGUAGCAGCAGUGUGUACCAUCUAAAGAUGCACUGAAGAAAAUCACUAUGGCUCCUUUGACAGCUCCUUCCAAACCCAAGACUAUCUAGAAGGACAAGGACAGUAGCAUUGUGGGUCUACCUACAGUACAUGGACUUCAGCAAAUCAAGAAGGCCACUCAUCACCACUUUCUAAUGGGCAAUAAGUGGAUGGC